UGGCCCAAUAAUUCUGCUUCUGAAUACACGUGUUGAAGAGAUUCUCACACAUAUCCACAGGGUGCCUGUGCAGCAGUAUUCACUGUGAUAGGAAGUGAGAAGCAGUCUGAGUGUUCAUUGCUGAGGGAAUCAAGGGCAAAAUAUCAUGGAUGCACUCAUGGACAAAUAAGCAGCAGUUUGAAGCAACAACCUAGAUGGAUGUACAGCCAUCAAGAGGAUCUUAAAGUGUGGUCUUUAGUGGAAAAAAAGGUUACAUUUGAACAUAUUUAUCUGCUAAAGCAAAAUAAUUCCCAUCAUUCUAUAGCAGAAGCAAUGUAUGGGAGACUGAGUAAUUACAUAUAAGCUCACAUCACUAUCUCUUCCACCACUGUCAUCCAUCAUGACUGAUCUGGGAGAUGAAACAGCACAGAUCUAAAGGACGUGGAAGAAAGAAGCUUAUAAAGUGUCCAUCAUGAGAAUCCACCUGGGACCUACACAACAGAUCAAAUACCCAGAACAAAUCACCAAGUCAGAGCCCCACAGAAUUCUGAUUCCCAACCAGCAAGCAUGAAUAAUCCUUUUAAAUGGUCACUUACAUAUCAGAACAGGUCCUUUGUGAAAUUUCUAAGCAAGGCCUCUGGUUUCUGACUGAAACAGAGAUUUAUUGAGAAGGAGGGGUAAAGUGAA
rnacentral:lncRNA from 1 species